UCAACUAGUUGUUGGGGAUUCAUUUCCUUAGUAACGUAGCUAACGCGUGAAGUUGACCGCCUGGGGAGUACGGUCGCAAGAUUAAAACUCAAAGGAAUUGACGGGGACCCGCACAAGCGGUGGAUGAUGUGGAUUAAUUCGAUGCAACGCGAAAAACCUUACCUACCCUUGACAUGGUCGGAACCCCGCUGAGAGGUGGGGGUGCUCGAAAGAGAACCGAUACACAGGUGCUGCAUGGCUGUCGUCAGCUCGUGUCGUGAGAUGUUGGGUUAAGUCCCGCAACGAGCGCAACCCUUGUCCUUAGUUGCUACCCGCAAGGGAGCACUCUAAGGAGACUGCCGGUGACAAACCGGAGGAAGGUGGGGAUGACGUCAAGUCCUCAUGGCCCUUAUGGGUAGGGCUUCACACGUCAUACAAUGGUCGGUACAGAGGGUCGCCAACCCGCGAGGGGGAGCUAAUCCCAGAAAACCGAUCGUAGUCCGGAUUGCAGUCUGCAACUCGACUGCAUGAAGCUGGAAUCGCUAGUAAUCGCGGAUCAGCAUGUCGCGGUGAAUACGUUCCCGGGUCUUGUACACACCGCCCGUCACACCAUGGGAGUGGGUUUUACCAGAAGUGGCUAGUCUAACCGCAAGGAGGACGGUCACCACGGUAGGA
rnacentral:rRNA from 1 species